UACGAAGGGGGCUAGCGUUGCUCGGAAUCACUGGGCGUAAAGCGCACGUAGGCGGAUUGCUAAGUCAGGGGUGAAAUCCUGGAGCUCAACUCCAGAACUGCCUUUGAUACUGGCAAUCUCGAGUCCGGGAGAGGUGAGUGGAACUGCGAGUGUAGAGGUGAAAUUCGUAGAUAUUCGCAAGAACACCAGUGGCGAAGGCGGCUCACUGGCCCGGUACUGACGCUGAGGUGCGAAAGCGUGGGGAGCGAACAGG
rnacentral:rRNA from 1 species